rnacentral:rRNA from 1 species
GAUGAACGCUAGCUACAGGCUUAACACAUGCAAGUCGAGGGGAAACGAUAGAGAAAGCUUGCUUUUUCUAGGCGUCGACCGGCGCACGGAUGAGUAACGCGUAUCCAACCUGCCCAUCACUUGGGGAUAACCUUGCGAAAGUAAGACUAAUACCCAAUGAUAUCUCUAGAAGACAUCUGAAGGAGAUUAAAGAUUUAUCGGUGAUGGAUGGGGAUGCGUCUGAUUAGCUUGUUGGCGGGGUAACGGCCCACCAAGGCGACGAUCAGUAGGGGUUCUGAGAGGAAGGUCCCCCACAUUGGAACUGAGACACGGUCCAAACUCCUACGGGAGGCAGCAGUGAGGAAUAUUGGUCAAUGGGCGAGAGCCUGAACCAGCCAAGUAGCGUGCAGGAUGACGGCCCCAUGGGUUGUAAACUGCUUUUAUAAGGGAAUAAAGUGAGCCUCGUGAGGCUUUUUGCAUGUACCUUAUGAAUAAGGACCGGCUAAUUCCGUGCCAGCCGCCGCCGUAA